rnacentral:lncRNA from 1 species
UGGGAUCACAACUGUUUCUUAGAAGUCUUAGAAGUUUAUCCUGAGAAAAACAUCUGAACUCGAGUCACUGGUUCUGGUCCAGGUAAAGUGAGAGGGGAUCGGCUGAGAAAACACACACACACUAACACACACACACCUGCUGAUCAGAAGCGCUUUGAUUUUACCAGCAUGAAUCCUGACACACCUCACAGCUGAUCAACACACACACACACUCACUUAUAUACACUCACACACACUCAUAUACACUCACAAAACACUCAUAUACACUCACACACACUCUUAUACACUUUCACUCACUCACACACACUCAUAUAUACUUACACUCACUUACACACACACUCAUAUACACUCACACACACUCCUAUACACUUACACUCACUCUCACACACACUCAUAUACACUCACACACACUCCUAUACACUUACACUCACUCUCACACACACUCACAUACACUCACACACACUCCUAUACACUUACACUCACUCUCACACACACUCACAUACACUCACACACACUCCUAUACACUUACACUCACUCUCACACACACUCACAUACAAUACACUCACACACACUCACACACACUCAUAUACACUUACACACACUCACACACACUCAUAUACACUUACACACACUCACACACACUCAUAUAUAUUUACACUCACUCACACACACUCAUAUAUACUUACACACACUCACACACACUCAUAUAUACUUACACUCACUCACAAACACAGACUCAUAUAUACUUACACACACUCAUAUAUACUUACACACACUCACACACACUCAUAUAUACUUACACUCACUCACAAACACAGACUCAUAUAUACUUACACACUCUCACACACACUCAUAUACACUCACACAAACUCCUAUACACUUACACUCACUCUCACACACACUCAUAUACACUCACACACACUCCUAUACACUUACACUCACUCUCACACACACUCACACACACUCCUAUACACUUACACUCACUCUCACACACACUCAUAUAGGAUUCUUUGAUGAAUAGAAAUAUCAAAAGAUCA